rnacentral:lncRNA from 1 species
GAGAGCGACUUACAUUUGAAAUAAAAUGGAGGAGACAGCAAAUAAUUCAAAAUCAGUUUUGUCAUUAGAAGUUACACAAGAGCAGAGGAAUGCAAUUUACACUUUAUUUGUACACAAUGAUUGGGAAUUUAAAGACAAAUCUGGUGAAAGUGUUAGUGUUGAGGAAAAGGUUUCAAAUGUGGAAGAUUUCUUUAUUGCACAAAUGAAAACUCGGAGGAAUGUCCAAAUUGUUUAUGCAGGCCAUGCAUGACACACGAAAGGAACAGACAGAUGUGGUGGGGAAAUAAACAGAAUGCAUAUUUGAGAAAAGACAUGUAUCAAUUUUUUUGGACUAAUUUAUUUCAUAGGCGAGUUUGGAAAGACCCUAGAUACUUAUUGCGAAAGAAAGAUGCACUUAGAAGUGAUCCUAGAAGACGUAAAUGUGUUUAUCAUCGGAGGGAUUUAAUACCCAAGUGUGUGAUUGAGUUAGUGGAACAGUGGUUUCCAAACUUAUCAGGAAAAUAAAUACAUGGGUUACAUAACAUGCAUUAGGGAAUACUAACUUAGAAAUAAAAGCGCC